rnacentral:rRNA from 1 species
CCCUUAGAUGUUCUGGGCUGCACGCGCGCUACACUGAAGCGUUCAACGAGUAUUCACCUUGCCCGGGAGGGUUGGGUAAUCUUUUGAAAACGCUUCGUGAUGGGGAUAGACUUUUGCAAUUUUUGGUCUUCAACGAGGAAUUCCUAGUAAACGCAAGUCAUCAACUUGCAUUGAUUACGUCCCUGCCCUUUGUACACACCGCCCGUCGCACCUACCGAUUGAAUGGUCCGGUGAAGCCUCCGGAUUGGCGCGCACCUCGGUGCCGCCGAGAAGUUGGCUAAACCUUACCAUUUAGAGGAAGGUGAAGUCGUAACA